GAGAAUCCCGUAUGCGACCGGUGACCAAUCCCAUGUGAAACCCCUUCGACGAGUCGAGUUGUUUGGGAAUGCAGCUCAAAAUGGGUGGUAUAUUUCAUCUAAAGCUAAAUACCGGCCAGAGACCGAUAGCGCACAAGUAGAGUGAUCGAAAGAUGAAAAGCACUUUGGAAAGAGAGUCAAAAAGUACGUGAAAUUGUUGAAAGGGAAGCGCUCGCAACCAGACCUGCCCGCGGCCGAUCAACCGUCCUUCUGGGCGGUGCACUCGACCGCGAUCAGGCCAGCAUCGGUUCGGGCGGCCGGAUAAAGGCCCUGGGAACGUAGCUCCUUUCGGGGAGUGUUAUAGCCCUCGGUGUAAUGCGGCCCGCCUGGACCGAGGACCGCGCUUCGGCUAGGAUGCUGGCGUAAUGGUUGUGAGCGGCCCGUCUUGAAACACGGACCAAGGAGUCUAACAUCUAUGCGAGUGUUUGGGUGUUAAACCCAUGCGCGUAAUGAAAGUGAACGGAGGUGGGAACCCAUUCGGGCGCACCAUCGACCGAUCCAGAUGUCUUCGGAUGGAUUUGAGUACGAGCAUAGCUGUUGGGACCCGAAAGAUGGUGAACUAUGCCUGAAUAGGGUGAAGCCAGAGGAAACUCUGGUGGAGGCUCGCAGCGGUUCUGACGUGCAAAUCGAUCGUCAAAUUUGGGUAUAGGGGCGAAAGACUAAUCGAACCAUC
rnacentral:rRNA from 1 species